UUGACCUCAAAUCGGGUGAGACUACCCGCUGAACUUAAGCAUAUCAAUAAGCGGAGGAAAAGAAACUAACAAGGAUUCCCCUAGUAACUGCGAGUGAAGCGGGGAAAAGCUCAAAUUU
rnacentral:rRNA from 1 species